AUCAGCACUGCUAGCAUCAUCGUCAAAUACGUCAAAGUCAUCAGCACUGCUACCAUCAUUGUCAAAUACAUCUACAUAUACGCAGCCCAGAUACAGCAUGCAGGUCAGUAUAUACAGAGUUGCCUGCAGUAGUAACUGGCAACCUGCAGGAUCAGAAUGACAUUUACAAUUUUACUGAUGAAGACGGAGUGGAAGAUAUGGAAGGUGGAGAGAGAGAGG